rnacentral:rRNA from 1 species
UACGUAGGCAGCGAGCGUUGUUCGGAGUUACUGGGCGUAAAGGGUGUGUAGGCGGUUGCUUAAGUUUGGUGUGAAAUCUCCCGGCUCAACUGGGAGGGUGCGCCGAAUACUGAGUGACUCGAGUGCGGGAGAGGAAAGUGGAAUUCCUGGUGUAGCGGUGAAAUGCGUAGAUAUCAGGAGGAACACCGGUGGUGUAGACGGCUUUCUGGACCGUAACUGACGCUGAGACACGAAAGCGUGGGUAGCAAACAGG